rnacentral:rRNA from 1 species
UACGAAGGGGGCAAGCGUUGUUCGGAAUGACUGGGCGUAAAGGGCGCGUAGGCGGUGCGUUGCGUCAGAUGUGAAAUCCCCGGGCUCAACCUGGGAAUUGCAUUUGAUACUCUGGAGCUUGAGUACGGGAGAGGAGAGUGGAAUUCCCAGUGUAGAGGUGAAAUUCGUAGAUAUUGGGAAGAACACCGGUGGCGAAGGCGGCUCUCUGGACCGUAACUGACGCUGAGGCGCGAAAGCGUGGGGAGCAAACAGG